rnacentral:tRNA from 1 species
UAAGUAGUAGUUUAAGGAAAAUGUUAUAUUUUGAGUGUAAAGCUAAUUUAAGAGAUUCUAUUUAA